GAUGAACGCUGGCGGCGUGCCUAAUACAUGCAAGUCGAGCGAACAGACGAGGAGCUUGCUCCUCUGACGUUAGCGGCGGACGGGUGAGUAACACGUGGAUAACCUACCUAUAAGACUGGGAUAACUUCGGGAAACCGGAGCUAAUACCGGAUAAUAUAUUGAACCGCAUGGUUCAAUAGUGAAAGACGGUUUUGCUGUCACUUAUAGAUGGAUCCGCGCCGCAUUAGCUAGUUGGUAAGGUAACGGCUUACCAAGGCGACGAUGCGUAGCCGACCUGAGAGGGGGAUCGGCCACACUGGAACUGAGACACGGUCCAGACUCCUACGGGAGGCAGCAGGAGGGAAUCUUCCGCAAUGGGCGAAAGCCUGACGGAGCAACGCCGCGUGAGUGAUGAAGGUCUUCGGAUCGUAAAACUCUGUUAUGAGGGAAGAACAAAUGUGUAAGUAACUAUGCACGUCUUGACGGUACCGAAACAGAAAGCCACGGCUAACUACGU
rnacentral:rRNA from 1 species